AUUUUGGCGCGGGGCAAAGGCUGAGGGUGGGGCGGGGACGGUAUGGCUGCUCCUCACCUCACAGCCCCCAGGGAAUGUAGAGAGGAUUGGGGAUCGGGGAUCGGGGAUCGGGGAUCAGCGGUGUCCGCUCGUGCUGCAGAGCAGCAGGACCAUCCGUGUCCCCGCGGUCCCCUAAGUGUGAGGGCGUUUCGUGUCACCUCAGCUGGAUCCUGCUGAUUCACACCUUCCUUAGCACUAAAAACUUGGAGUUGAGGUCCAGGGCACACAGCAAAGGAAAAGUCUCUCCCUCGCUGUGAUUUGGUGGAUUUAUUUGCAAAUGCCCUCACAGGUAUUAAUUCAAGAAAUCUUGUCUCCUGAUGAAGGAACUUCAUCUCUAUUCUGAAAAAGCUAACACUGCCAGAUUUUAAGCACAGAAGUUGGUGGAUUUUAUUAAAACCCUGAGGCAAGAAAGCUCAUCUGAAAUAGUCAAAUGGAAAUGAAAAGCUCCACAGGUAGGACAGAAUAAAAUCCUAGACUGGAAAAGUUACCUCAUCUUGAUGAACUCCUUACUGUGCUUACCAGAUUAACUUUGGUUUUGGUUAGCAUUAAUUUUAUUUAAUUUUAAAGCAAUUUGCCUCUAGGAUUAUAACAUUAGUCAAAAAACCAUCUUUUAGUA